rnacentral:rRNA from 1 species
GAUGAACGCUGGCGGCGUGCCUAAUACAUGCAAGUCGAGCGAACGGACGAGAAUCUUGCUUCUCUGAUGUUAGCGGCGGACGGGUGAGUAACACGUGUAUAACCUACCUAUAAGACUGGGAUAACUUCGGGAAACCGGAGCUAAUACCGGAUAAUAUUUUGAACCGCAUGGUUCAAAAGUGAAAGACGGUCUUGCUGUCUCUUAUAGAUGGAUCCGCUCUGCAUUAGCUAGUUGGUAAGGUAACGGCUUACCAAGGCAACGAUGCAUAGCCGACCUGAGAGGGUGAUCGGCCAAACGGGAACUGAGACACGGACAAGAGGCCUACGGGAGGCAGCAGUAGGGAAUGUGCGGAAAUGGGCGAAAGCAUGACGGAGCAAGGCCGCGUGAGUGAUGAAGGUCUUCGGAUCGUAAAACUCUGUUAUUAGGGAAGAACAGAUGUGUAAGUAACUGUGCACAUCUUGACGGUACCUAAUCAGAAAGCAACGGCUAACUACGUG